CCUACGGGAGGCUGCAGUGAGGAAUAUUGGUCAAUGGCCGCAGGGCUGAACCAGCCAAGUCGCGUGAGGGAUGACGGUUCUAUGGAUUGUAAACCUCUUUUGUCAGGGAGCAAAGGGCGCCACGUGUGGCGUUUUGCGAGUACCUGAAGAAAACGCAUCGGCUAACUCCGUGCCAGCAGCCGCGGUAAUACGGAGGAUGCGAGCGUUAUCCGGAUUUAUUGGGGUUAACGGGUAGGCAGGCGGAAUGCCAAGUCAGCGGUAAAAUUUCGGGACUAAACCCCGUCGUGCCGUGGAAACUGGCGUUCUAGAGUGAGCGAGAAGUAUGCGGAAUGCGUGGUGUAGCGGUGAAAUGCAUAGAUAUCACGAAGAACACCGAUUGCGAAGGCAGCAUACUGGCGCGCAACUGACGUUGAGGCACGAAAGCGUGGGUAUCGAACAGGAUUAGAUACCCGAGUAGUC
rnacentral:rRNA from 1 species